ACUUGGCUCAGUUCCUGUCUCCUCACAAUUAAGAGAAAGCUACUGUGAGCCUUAUUUUCUGACUGCUACAGAAGAAAACAUGAUUAAAAAUAAGAAGCUAGUCGAUGCAGCAAUAAGGAGACGGGUGAGCUUGGAGGACUUUGUCCAAACAAUGAGGUUUAUGGGAAAUCUAAGUUGAUGCAUAAAUCUUUUCCAGACUUCCAAAAGGACCUGUCAAAGAUGCUUAUGUGGGUUUCAGUGGCUUCCUGCC